AUACCAUGCAUCAUAAAGGUAAUCAUUAUGUAGUAACCUUUUUCUUUACUGUUUGUUUUGAAGGGAAGGUUAAUAUAUUUAUUCCUAUUAUUGAGACCUUUGUAUACUAUAUUUAGUAUACCAUGAGUCACUGAGGAAAAGGUUAGUGAAAUUUUAAGUUCUUCCCCAUUACAUAAAAAUAUUGUGCAUUAUAAAAUUUGUAAUUAGUGGUUAUGUUCUAAUGACAGUCUGGUUUUUAUUUCUUAAGUCUUACCACUUUUCUUUCAUCUUUAGGACAAAGCAACAGUAAUUCAGAUACCUGCGCAGAAUUUCGAAUAAAAUAUGUUGGUGCCAUUGAGAAACUGAAACUCUCUGAGGGAAAGGACCUUGAAGGGCCAUUAGACCUGAUAAAUUAUAUAGACGUUGCCCAGCAAGAUGGAAAGUUGCCUUUUGUUCCUCCGGAGGAAGAAUUUAUUAUGGGAGUUUCCAAGUAUGGCAUAAAAGUAUCAACAUCAGAUCAAUAUGAACAAGCACAAGCCAUUUGCAAGGUUUUAUCCACCGCUUUUGACUCUGUAUUAACAUCUGAGAAACCCUGAAUCCUGCAGUCAAGUAGAAACCAACUUCAUCUGAAAGUUCAGCUGUUUUCAAACUGCAAUGCUGAAGUGUUAUGCAAAUAAUGAAGCGAUCCCUUGCUCUAGAUUUUCUGAAGAAAAUGGAUUGUGUAAAAUGCUGAUCAUUUGUUUAUUAAAAUGUGUCCUAUUACACAGUG
rnacentral:sRNA from 1 species